UAGUUUUAUUAUUUUCUGUGUCUCUGUGUGUGUGUUUUUCUCUUCUUCUUUUCACUUUAUCUCUCUAGAACUCUCCUUCUUCACUCUUAUCUUUCAUUUUGAUUUUAUUUUCCCAAGAAAAUCAAAUACAACACCAGAUUAUAAGGAUUUCAAGCGUUACAGAUCUGAAGAGUCCGAGAAAUUUUUGGAUAGUGAAGAGUUUUGAGGUUUUUUUUUUUAAGAUGCUUUUGGAAUUUAAAGAGAUCUGAGCAAGAAUAUCAGGGACAACUUGGGAUUUAUUUUUGAAAUCUUUUGAAUGCACAACAGACAGCUGGACAGACACACUCGUGAAAUAAAUUUUGGAACACUGAGUUAAUCUUUGAAUUUGAAACAAACACCCACAAUGAUGCAGAGGCCUCCGCUCGAGGAGUUUGUCUUGAAGGAGACCAAUCCCCAUCUCGGUGGGGGGAAGGUCACCGGGGACAAGCUCACUAGUACUUAUGAUCUUGUUGAGCAGAUGCAAUAUCUGUAUGUUCGUGUUGUUAAGGCUAAGGACUUGCCUGGGAAAGAUGUUACUGGUAGUUGUGACCCUUAUGUAGAAGUUAAGCUAGGGAACUAUAAGGGUACCACUCGACAUUUUGAGAAGAAGUCAAAUCCUGAGUGGAGCCAGGUGUUUGCCUUCUCCAAGGAUCGAAUUCAGGCCUCCGUGCUUGAGGUUACUGUUAAAGAUAAGGAUGUUGUGAAGGAUGACUUCAUGGGUCGAGUUUUGUUUGAUUUGAAUGAGGUACCUAAGCGUGUUCCUCCUGAUAGUCCUUUAGCACCACAGUGGUAUAGGUUGGAGGAUAGGAAAGGGGAUAAAGUUAAGGGGGAGUUGAUGUUAGCUGUGUGGAUGGGUACACAGGCAGAUGAAGCAUUUCCAGAAGCAUGGCAUUCUGAUGCUGCUGCUAUCAGCGGAAUGGACAGUCUUGCCAACAUUCGGUCAAAGGUAUAUCUCUCCCCUAAACUAUGGUAUUUGAGGGUCAAUGUCAUUGAAGCUCAAGAUUUGCAACCAAGUGAUAAAGGUCGAUAUCCAGAAGUUUUUGUGAAGGCUGUCUUGGGAAAUCAAGCUUUGAGAACGAGAAUUUCUCCAAGUAGGAGUAUUAAUCCUAUGUGGAAUGAGGAUCUUAUGUUUGUGGCUGCAGAGCCAUUUGAAGAGCCUUUGAUUUUAAGUGUGGAAGAUAGAAUUGCACCUAAUAAAGAGGAGGUACUGGGGAGAUGUGCGAUUCCUUUGCCGUAUAUUGACAGAAGGCUUGACCACAGACCUGUUAAUACCAGGUGGUUUAAUCUGGAGAAACAUGUUCUUGUGGAAGGUGAAAAGAAGAAGGAAAUUAAAUUUGCUAGCAGGAUUCACAUGAGAAUCUGUCUGGAGGGUGGCUAUCAUGUUCUGGAUGAAUCAACACACUACAGCAGCGAUCUUCGACCUACAGCCAAACAGCUUUGGAAGCAGAGCAUAGGGGUGCUUGAAGUAGGUAUUCUUAAUGCGCAGGGAUUGAUACCCAUGAAGACAAAGGAUGGUCGGGGAACAACAGAUGCCUACUGUGUGGCAAAGUACGGUCAGAAGUGGGUUCGUACUCGUACCAUUAUUGACAGCUUUGCACCCAAGUGGAAUGAGCAAUAUACCUGGGAGGUCUCUGAUCCCUGUACUGUCAUAACCAUUGGGGUUUUUGAUAAUUGUCAUUUGCAUGGAGGAGGGGAUAAGGCUGGAGGAGUUAAGGAUUCGAGGAUUGGGAAGGUACGAAUCCGUCUUUCCACACUUGAAACUGAUCGAGUUUACACACACUCAUACCCUCUCCUGGUCCUGCAUCCUAAUGGUGUCAAGAAGAUGGGAGAUAUUCAUUUAGCAGUCCGUUUCACAUGCUCAUCCUUGCUUAAUAUGAUGCACAUGUAUUCGCAUCCUCUGUUGCCAAAGAUGCACUAUCUCCAUCCACUUACAGUAAGCCAGCUUGAUAGCUUGAGGCACCAAGCCACUCAGAUUGUGUCAAUGAGGCUGAGCCGAGCAGAGCCGCCAUUACGGAAGGAAAUUGUUGAAUACAUGCUUGAUGUGGGGUCUCACAUGUGGAGUAUGAGAAGAAGCAAAGCCAAUUUUUUCAGAAUCAUGGGGGUGUUGAGUGGUUUGAUUGCAGUAGGGAAAUGGUUUGAUCAGAUUUGCAAUUGGAAAAACCCCAUCACAACAGUGCUCAUUCACAUAUUGUUUAUUAUAUUAGUGCUCUAUCCGGAGCUUAUUUUGCCUACGAUCUUUCUGUAUCUAUUCCUGAUUGGUGUAUGGUAUUAUAGAUGGAGGCCAAGGCAUCCUCCUCACAUGGACACUCGUCUGUCUCAUGCAGAAUCUGCACAUCCUGAUGAACUCGACGAGGAGUUCGAUACAUUCCCUACGUCACGACCUUCUGAUAUUGUAAGGAUGAGAUAUGAUAGGUUGAGAAGUAUUGCUGGGAGGAUUCAGACGGUGGUUGGGGAUUUAGCUACUCAAGGGGAAAGACUGCAGUCUUUGCUAAGCUGGCGAGACCCAAGGGCAACAGCUUUGUUCGUGAUUUUCUGUUUGAUAGCUGCCAUUGUUCUGUAUGUUACUCCUUUCCAAGUUGUGGCACUCCUGUCUGGAUUUUAUGUGUUGAGACAUCCAAGGUUUCGCCACAAGCUCCCCUCAGUACCGCUCAAUUUCUUCCGGCGGUUGCCGGCGAGAACUGAUUGCAUGCUUUGAGCAAGAAAGGGUUUUGAUUCGGCUUGUUGAGUCGGCGGGGGACAAGAUGCAGAAAGUAAUGGAGCUAGUUUGCUUUCCAUGUGUACGAGACGGGUAUGAUGUCUAACCUUCCUCCGAAGGUUGUGAUUGGAAUAUAAUCUUUGAUGACCCUUCUUCUAUAUGCUUUAACUACAUCUAUAGCUUUUAUGCAUUUCUUAUGUUGCAUUGUAUACAAUUGGUGACCGACUAUAUAGUGAGAAAUGCAUUGCUUGAUUCAUGUAGAAACAGUAAAAGUGAAUAAAAGUUACUGCUGCUUGGGGA